ACAUGAAGCUGGAAUCGCUAGUAAUCGCGGAUCAGAAUGCCGCGGUGAAUACGUUCCUGGGUCUUGUACACACCGCCCGUCACACCAUGGGAGUCGGAAAUGCCCGAAGUCUGUGACCCAACCGCGAGGAGGGAGCAGCCGAAGGCAGGUCGGAUGACUGGGUGAAGUCGUAACAAGGUAUC
rnacentral:rRNA from 1 species